rnacentral:rRNA from 1 species
CCUACGGGUGGCAGCAGUGAGGAAUAUUGGUCAAUGGCCGGAAGGCUGAACCAGCCAUGCCGCGUGAAGGGCAGGGACCUAGGGGCGUUAAACUUCUUUUGUGCGGGAGCAAGAAUGGGCACGUGGGGCCAGACGAGAGUACCGUACGAAUAAGCAGCGGCGAACUCCGGGCCAGCAGCCGCGGUAAUACGGGGGAUGCAAGCGUUAUCCGGAUUUAUUGGGUGUAAAGGGCGUGUAGCCGGGAAGGCAAGUCAGAUGUGAAAUCUGGAGGCUCAACCUCCAAAUUGCAUUUGAAACUGUUUUUCUUGAGUACUGGAGAGGCAGCCGGAAUUCCUUGUGUAGCGGUGAAAUGCGUAGAUAUAAGGAGGAACACCAGUGGCGAAGGCGGUCUGCUGGACAGCAACUGACGGUGAGGCGCGAAAGCGUGGGGAGCAAACAGGAUUAGAUACCCCAGUAGUC